AGAGUUUGAUCCUGGCUCAGGAUGAACGCUGGCGGCGUGCCUAACACAUGCAAGUCGAACGGGUGUACGGGAAGGAAGAUUUCGGUCGGAAGCCCCGUGCAUGAGUGGCGGAUGGGUGAGUAACGCGUGGGCAACCUGCCCUGUACAGGGGGACAACACUUAGAAAUAGGUGCUAAUACCGCAUAACGGGGGGAGCCGCAUGGCACCCCCCUGAAAACUCCGGUGGUACAGGAUGGGCCCGCGUCUGAUUAGCUGGUUGGCAGGGUAACGGCCUACCAAGGCGACGAUCAGUAGCCGGCCUGAGAGGGCGGACGGCCACACUGGGACUGAGACACGGCCCAGACUCCUACGGGAGGCAGCAGUGGGGGAUAUUGCACAAUGGGGGGAACCCUGAUGCAGCGACGCCGCGUGGGUGAAGGAGCGUUUCGGCGCGUAAAGCCCUAUCGGCAGGGAAGAAGGAGGACGGUACCUGACUAAGAAGCCCCGGCUAACUACGUGCCAGCAGCCGCGGUAAUACGUAGGGGGCGAGCGUUAUCCGGAAUGAUUGGGCGUAAAGGGUGCGCAGGCGGUCCUGCAAGUCUGGAGUGAAACGUAUGAGCUCAACUCAUGCAUGGCUCUGGAAACUGGAGGACUGGAGAGCAAGAGAGGGCGGUGGAACUCCAUGUGUAGCGGUUAAAUGCGUAUAUAUAUGGAAGAACACCAGUUGGCGGAGGCGGCCCGCCUGUCUGUUGCUGACCCUGAUGCACAAAAGCGUGGGGAAGCAAUAAAAUAAAAUACCCUAUCCUCCCCCCCCCAAAACAAGAGGAACCAGUGGGGGGGGUGAAACCUCAGUGCUGAAGUUAACGCAGUGAGUCCUCCGCCUGGGGAGUAUGCACGCAAGUGUGAAACUCAAAGGAAUUGACGGGGGCCCGCACAAGCGGUGGAGUAUGUGGUUUAAUUCGAAGCAACGCGAAGAACCUUACCAGGCCUUGACAUGGGAUGCGAAGACGCAGAGAUGCGUUGGAGGCUAACAUCCACACAGGUGGUGCAUGGUUGUCGUCAGCUCGUGUCGUGAGAGUUUGGGUCAAGUCCCGCAACGAGCGCAACCGUCGUGGCAUGCUGGCAACAGGAAAGAUGAGGACCUCAUGCCAGAGUGCCGGUGACAAACAGGAGGUAGGCGGGGAGGACGUCAAAUCCUCCCGCCCUUUUUGGGGGGGGGUCCACA
rnacentral:rRNA from 1 species